UGGGGAAUUUUGGACAAUGGGGGAAACCCUGAUCCAGCCAUCCCGCGUGUGCGAUGAAGGCCUUCGGGUUGUAAAGCACUUUUGGCAGGAAAGAAACGUCGCGGGUUAAUACCCCGCGGAACUGACGGUACCUGCAGAAUAAGCACCGGCUAACUACGUGCCAGCAGCCGCGGUAAUACGUAGGGUGCAAGCGUUAAUCGGAAUUACUGGGCGUAAAGCGUGCGCAGGCGGUUCGGAAAGAAAGAUGUGAAAUCCCAGAGCUUACUUUGGAACUGCAUUUUUAACUACCGGGCUAGAGUGUGUCAGAGGGAGGUGGAAUUCCGCNUGUAGCAGUGAAAUGCGUAGAUAUGCGGAGGAACACCGAUGGCGAAGGCAGCCUCCUGGGAUAACACUGACGCUCAUGCACGAAAGCGUGGGGAGCAAACAGGAUUAGAUACCCUGGUAGUCCACGCCCUAAACGAUGUCAACUAGCUGUUGGGGUCUUCGGACCUUGGUAGCGCAGCUAACGCGUGAAGUUGACCGCCUGGGGAGUAC
rnacentral:rRNA from 1 species